rnacentral:rRNA from 1 species
GAUGAACGCUGGCGGCGUGCCUAAUACAUGCAAGUCGAGCGAAUGGAUUAAGAGCUUGCUCUUAUGAAGUUAGCGGCGGACGGGUGAGUAACACGUGGGUAACCUGCCCAUAAGACUGGGGUAACUCCGGGAAACCGGGGCUAAUACCGGAUAACAUUUUGAACCGCAUGGUUCGAAAUUGAAAGGCGGCUUCGGCUGUCACUUAUGGAUUGACCCGCGUCGCAUUAGCUAGUUGGUAAGGUAACGGCUCACCAAGGCAACGAGGCGUAGCCGACCUGAGAGGGUGAUCGGCCACACUGGGACUGAGACACGGCCCAGACUCCUACGGGAGGCAGCAGUAGGGAAUCUUCCGCAAUGGACGAAAGUCUGACGGAGCAACGCCGCGUGGGUGAUGAAGGCUUUCGGGUCGUAAAACUCUGUUGUUAGGGAAGAACAAGUGCUAGUUGAAUAAGCUGGCACCUUGACGGUACCUAACCAGAAAGCCACGGCUAACUACGUGCCAGCAGCCGCGGUAA